rnacentral:rRNA from 1 species
UACGUAGGGUGCAAGCGUUAUCCGGAUUCACUGGGUUUAAAGGGUGCGUAGGCGGGCAGGUAAGUCAGUGGUGAAAUCUCCGGGCUUAACCCGGAACUGCCGUUGAUACUAUCUGUCUUGAAUAUCGUGGAGGUAAGCGGAAUAUGUCAUGUAGCGGUGAAAUGCUUAGAUAUGACAUAGAACACCCAUUGCGAAGGCAGCUUACUACACGAUCAUUGACGCUGAGGCACGAAAGCGUGGGGAGCAAACAGG